rnacentral:rRNA from 1 species
GACGAACGCUGGCGGCGUGCUUAACACAUGCAAGUCGAACGGAAAGGCCCUGCUUUUGUGGGGUGCUCGAGUGGCGAACGGGUGAGUAACACGUGAGUAACCUGCCCUUGACUUUGGGAUAACUUCAGGAAACUGGGGCUAAUACCGGAUAGGAGCUCCUGCUGCAUGGUGGGGGUUGGAAAGUUUCGGCGGUUGGGGAUGGACUCGCGGCUUAUCAGCUUGUUGGUGGGGUAGUGGCUUACCAAGGCUUUGACGGGUAGCCGGCCUGAGAGGGUGACCGGCAAAAUUGGGACUGAGAUACGGCACAGACUCCAACGGGAGGCAGCAGUGGGGAAUAUUGCACAAUGGGCGGAAGCCUGAUGCAGCAACGCAGCGUGCGGGAUGACGGCCUUCGGGUUGUAAACAGAUUUCGCAUGUGACGAAGAGUGAGUGACGGUAAUGGGUAAAGAAGCACCGGCUAACUACGUG